GGGCCUGUAGUCUAGCGGCUAUGACAUUUCCUUGACGUGGAAAAGGUCGCAGGUUCGAAUCCUGCCAGGCCCA
rnacentral:tRNA from 1 species